rfam:Strongylocentrotus purpuratus Contig69784_fixed, whole genome shotgun sequence.
GUUUCAGUGGCCUAGUGGUCGAAGGCAUUGGCACACUAGAUGCCGAAGACCCGGGUUCGAAUCCCGGCUGAAACA